rnacentral:lncRNA from 1 species
GCAGAACAUAAGCACAGUGGAGUUUGGUUUCUUUCAGAAAUAAUAUAUUAUAUCACCAUGAUCAUUAUUUGUUGCAACAUCACAAAAUACGAUACUGAGAUUAUAUUGCUGUACUCUGUAAGUCCAUUUAGUCUUUUUUUUUUUUUUUUCCCCAGUCUGACCUCAUUCUAGUGAGAGAGAGCCAACUGCUUUUCCCCACCGUUGUGGCCAAUAACUAGCUCCGUGUAUGACUUAUUUGUUUUCUCAUCAGUCUUACAGAUGUUGGAUAUUUCUCUAGUUGGCAAUAUGUCUGAUACCAGAAGAGGAGCUGAAUAAAGACCUCUUACUGUGAACUAACUAAUCACUCACAGUCAUUAGUCACUGAGUACCUUCUUUUGGAUUAAAUAAAUACAGAAUGUUACCUAAUCAAACUAUCUCUAUUAUCUCAAAGCAAAAGCUGAAGAUGGGCCUGAUUUCAAACUACAACCAUCUCCAGUUCUGGAUCUGCAUAUUAAUCAGGCUCCAGAUUUACCUCUAUUAACAGGCACAACUUAAUGUACUGUAGAUUCUGAACCCCACAUUUAAAAACACUUAUCAUCCAAAGCCUUAGUUCUCACUAUUUUACAAUGACCAUAUUUGGUUCAAAUUCAGUGUUCUGUUCCAUCUCUCUAAAUUACCUAAUAUAUACAUUUCCUUUAUAAACAUUAACUUCUACUGAACAAAAAACCACUACAGAAUAGCUGGGUUUGACUAUUAUCACACAUAAUAACUAAACCUCUUUAUCAUCCUCACUGUUGUAUGCUUGGGUUAAGCUAGCUAGGAAACUGUUCUUGUUUAAAGUCUCAUCUAGAGAUGAGCCAGCUUAUUACCAGUAAUAGCUGUGUACAGAGGACUGAGCCAUGCCAUGAGGGAUAGUCCCUGACAAUUCUGGCUUCAGUGGUAAAGUAGUGGUGGAGGACAGUUAAAAUGAAUUGCUGGAAUGUGGUUCUCUACAGACACAAAAUCAGAAGCAAUUCCUCACCAAUCCACUGCUUUUCAGAAAAAGCCUACAGGUGAAAAACCAAGCCUAUGGCACAGCUGCACCCGGAUGCAGCACAGCUGUCAGCCAGGGAAGGGUGCUUGGGAGCAGAGAAAGAAAAAGUACUGUCAAUUAAAUGAAAACAUGAUGAGCAACGGAAGGAAGAAUACAGAAACUAAGCAAACGAGGACGAAGCUGGCCUACCUCUUCAGCACUCGAAAGCAGGGAUCCUACAGUGACUGA